rnacentral:misc_RNA from 1 species
GCUCUAGCUUUCUAUUGACUCCUCCUUGUGUCUCAUCUAUCAGAAUGAUGUUUUCUCAACUUGCGAUUUUUUUGGAAUAUGUCUUCAAUUUGAAGUGCUAUAGGGCAAAGAUGUUUGCGUGGUGAAAUUUAGACUAUUUUUUUGUUUGCAUUUGUUGGUUUUUUGGACUAAAAUUGUUAGGUUGUUGAAAGUGAUAUGAGACAACUUUCAAAACAUAAUUUUUUUGUUCAGCUACCUUUUGUGUUUGCUGUUCCAGCUCAUUUUAGAAAUCUUGGAAACUAAAUCUUUUAAUUGUAAGAAUCCCUGUUUCCUUCCAAAUUUUUACUUGUUCCAUCCUUUUUUUUUAGUUCCAUCCCUGUAUUAGCUUUUCACCACUCUCUUGGGAUUGAAGGAAAACAUUAUAUAUAGGGCCAGGGGUGGAAGGGGAGGGGUGGCAGAGAAAGAGAGAAAAUUAGUUAUUCACUAUAAUUGAAAAUUGAAAUGCAUCAUGACUGAUGGUGGUUGUAUUCUUUUUUACCCUUUCUUUCCCUCUUCCAACAUUUCUUUCCUACUUUGGACUUUAAUCAUGUUUGGUGGCCUGGGCUAACCACAGUAAUCAGAUUCGCUCACCUCCUUGGAUUCUAUGAUCUGGGCUGUGCUUUCCAAUUUGCAGGACAUUUAUGUCCCAUAUUGCUAAGGUACCCUAAACAGGGGUUCUAAUCCAAAUAAGGAAAAGAAGAAAGAAAGAAGAAGGAGAAGAGGAAGAGGCAACAGCAAUGCACAGGAGAAGCAGAAGAAGCGAUGUAAGAAGAAGAAAAAGAAAACUAUGUCAAGGAGGAGAAAAGGAUAAAUUGGGACUUUUUUAUCUUUUAUUUUUUUAUCGUUGGUGGGGUUAUGUGAGAGAGUAACUAGUUGACUUCAUAGGUGACAGUUUCUAGGAGAUACAAACAAUAAUAACUAUUAAUUAUAUUCUUUAAUUAUUUAAAAUUAUAUUAUUUUUUUAAAAAUG